UGCUGAGAUGUAUCCAGUACUAGACACAAGGUAAGACUGGAAUAGGCACCAAACAAGAAAACAAGACAAAACUAGUAGAACCCAGAACCAGAGAAGGAUAGAAAGCAAAACCCAGAACAUGUACACAAUACAAAAGGGAAACAUUAACAGAACAUGGGCAAGACAGGACAGGACUGUACAUGGACUUGGAAUACAAAAUAAAACAAGACAAGAUAUAUAAGGC